UGGAGGAGCGCAUGCGUGAGGUCCUCCCCCAGCGCUGCCAUUGAGGAGCAUUGAGUCAGUGAGUGGGAGAGGUUUGUUUGAGACAGGCCGCAAUGGAGAGACCAGCGCACAGGGAAGCGAGGGAACAGCAGGCUCCUUCCAGCAGCGCAUCGAGAUGCAAAUACUUGAUGGGCCAAGACUGUGUCAUAUUUCAUCAGUACAGCAUCUACCAGCUGCUCCAACCAAACAGCAGACAAACACUGGAAGGACCAGGACAAUGUAACAUUGCUUCAGAUCAAAGCCAAGUGUGACCAGCUCAUUAUAAUAAACAGCAGAGAAGAAACUUUGAGAUACAAGUUGCUGUACAUGCACAUUUCCAUAUCGAAGCAACUGACAGGAAAAGUUUGAAAAUAACCUUGAAGAUAGCAAGAAUUGCAGAUGCUGGAGCCAGCUUUCCCAGUUUCACGUGAAAAGGAGAAUAUUGUAGAGGAGAAGACUGAAUUACACGCUACUAGAAUUGAAAGGAUUGAGGUGAGUAAGGAGGAAGUGAGAUCAGUUCUACAAGGUGUGAAGGUAGAUAAAUCCCCUGGGCCGGAUGGGAUUUUUCCGAGGAUUGCCUGGGAAGCUAGGGAGGAGGUGGCAGAGCCCUUGGCCUUGAUCGUUGAGGCCUCAUUGUCUACAGGUUUAGUACCAGAGGACUGGAGGGUUGCAAAUGUUGUGGCCUUGUUCAAGGAUGGCAGUAGGAAUGACCCAGGCAAUUAUAGACCUGUGAACGUUGUGUCUGUUGUAGGAAAAGUUUUGGAAAGGAUUAUAAGAGAGAGGUUUUAUAAUCAUCUAGCAAGCAACAAUUUGAUUGGAGAUAGUCAACAUGGAUUUGUCAAGGGCAGAUCAUGUCUCACAGACCUCAUCGAGUAUUUUUGAGAAGGUGACCAAGCAUGUGGAUGAAGGUAGGGCAGUUGAUGUGGUGUACGUGGACUUCAGUAAAGCCUUUGGUAAGUCUCCACAUGGUAGGCGAUUGAAGAAAAUACGGAGGCUUGGGGUUGAGGGAGAUUUAGCAGUUUGGAUUAGAAACUGGCUUUCUGUAAGAAGGCAACGAGUGGUGGUUGAUGGAAAAUAUUCAGCCUGGAGUCCAGUUACUGGUGAUGUGCCUCAAGGAUCUGUUUUGAGACCACUGCUGUUUGUCAUUUUUAUAAAUGAAUUGGACGCAGGCCUAGGUGGAUGGGUUAGUAAGCUUGCAGAUGACACUAAGGUCGGUGGAGUGGUGGACAGUGUGGAAGAAUGUUGCGGGGAGAAUUGGAUAAACUGCAGAAUUGGGCUGAAAGGUGGCAAAUGGAGUUCAAUGUGGAUAAAUGUGAGGUGAUUGACUUUGGGAAGAAUAAUAGGAAGGCAGAAUACUGGGUCAAUGGAAAGAUUCUUGGUCGUGUGGAUGUGCAGAGGGAUCUUGGUGUCCAUGUACAUAGAUCCCUGAAGGUUGCCACCCAGGUUGAUAGUGCUGUUAAGAAGGCGUACAGUGUGUUAGGUUUUUAUUGGUAGAGGGAUUGAGUUCCGGAUUGGUGAUGUCAUGUUGCAACUGUACAAAACACUAGUGCAGCCUCAUUUGGAAUAUUGCGUACAGUUCUGGUCGCCCCAUUACAGGAAGGAUGUGGAAGCAUUGGAAAAGGUGCAGAGGAGAUUUACCAGGAUGUUGCCUGGUCUGGAGCGAAGGCCUUAUGACGAAAGGACUUGGGUCUGUUCGCAUUGGAGAGAAGGAGGCUAAGAGGCGAUUUAAUAGAGACAUAGAAGGUGAUCAGAGGAUUAGACAGGGUGGACAGUGAGAGUCUUUUUCUGAGGAUGAUGACAUCAGCUUGCAAAAGAAGGCAUAGCUACAAAUUGAGGGGUGAUAGAUAUAAGACAGAUGUUAGAGGCAGGUUCUUUACUCAGUGUUUAAGGCACUGGAACGCCCUGCCUGCCAAUGUGGUUAACUCAGCCACAUUAGGGGCAUUUAAACUGGCCUUGGAUAAAAAUAUGUAUGAUAAUGUGAUAGUGUAGGGGGAUGGGCUGAGAUUAGCUCACAGGUCAGCGCAACAUUGAGGGCCGAAGGGCCUGCUCUGCGCUGUAUUGUUCUAUGGCAUAAACUGACAGGUACAUUUUGAUAACUACUCUGAUAUUCACAGAGCAGAAUCUGGCUGGUCCUUAUAAGCGUAUUCACACGGUCACCAAGUAGAAACUGAGAUUGAUAACAGUAACAUUCAAAAUUGCAGUAACUGACAGAUAGAAGUUGAUAAUUGCAGUCACAUUUGCAUUGCAGUUACUGUCAGGGUCAGAUUAAUAACUAUGCUUUUGCUGACUUGCUUGCCAAGCUUGUAAGUUUGUUUACAGACAUUUUGUCAUCAUCCUACGUGACAUCAUCAGUGCGCCUCCAGUGAAGCAGUGGUGUUCUGUCCUACUUGCUGUUUAUGUGCCUCGGUUUGCUGGGGUGGGUGGCAUCACUUCUGGAUUUGUCUCUUCGUACAUGGAGUCCAGCUUGACAUGUUUAUUAAUGGAGUUCCAGUUUGAGUGCCAGCCUCUAGGAAUUCUGGUGCAUGUCUUUGGUUGGCUUCUCCUUGUAUGCCUACGUUGUCCCAGUCAAAUUGGUGUCCGUCUUUG